rnacentral:lncRNA from 1 species
CUUCUUUUCAUCUAUAUGGUCGAGAAACGAUUGUCCAAAACUGCCAGUCUGUUUCCUGACAUGCGAAGGAUCAACGUCAUAGAAUAUCGGCAAAACUAAUUGCCCCCGAUUUCUUCUACACUCCAUGAUCUUAACCAGCUCCUCGAGGCACCAGCUGGAGUUCGCAUACCGUCUAGAGAAGACGAUGAUAGAGAUCUUAGAACCUUGGAUUGCCCGCUCAAAUGCGGUUGUUAAUUCUUCUCCCUUUUUCAGUUCUUCGUCGUCAAUAAAAGCAUUGAUUCCAGCCUUUGUUAAUGCUUCAUAGAGGUGGCCCGUGAAGUUUUUACGUGUGUCUCCGCCUCUGAAGCUUAUGAACACAUCGUAGAGCGAACCUUUUGAGAAGGAGGACGAGGACAAGGAGGCGGAGAAGGACGAUGAGGAUGAGGAUGAGGGCAAGGAUGUGGAGGAGGUAGAGGAGGAAGAUGAGGAUGAGGAUGAGGGCGAGGAUGCGGAGGAGGACGAUGAGGAUGAGGGCAAGGAGGAGGAGGAUGACGAGGCUUUAUCGGGGACUGAGACAUUCAUUUGGCGAAAGACGAGGCCGAGGGAGCAGAGGAGGAAGAUGAGGACAUCAAAGACAAGACCGGAAUUGCGAGCCGCAAAGUGGUAGGACACUAACACCAGCACCGGAGUUAACAGCUUCCCUAAGCUCGACCAGGGAUCCAUUUCCUUCAUUUUCUUUAGGCAAAUUGAAGGUUUUUGGCGAUAUUGAUUUUCCCAUUUCCCUCAGCCUUUCCCUUUUUCCUUUACUUUUUUCUUCAUUUUUGGCGAGUUUCCUUCGCUUCUGGUCAAUAAUGCGCGUCAAUCAUGUGCGUUUUCAUACAGUACAUGCGUCCAUGUUUUUUUUUUCCUUUUUCUUGGUAGUUGUGCCGAGUGAAAGGCAGAUUUUAUACUAUAUAUUAUUUUCAAUUCUUGAUAUACUUUUAUUAUUAUUUUGAUGAGAUUUAGAUGUUUUGUUAUGUAUUUUUAAUGUAAGACAAUUAUGCACGUUAAUUAUGUGCGUUUUCGUACCUUUUUAAAGGAGUAGGAUUAUCUGGUCUCUUUUUGUCUCUCUACUUCUCUCUCUUUCUAUUUAAACGGUCACGGUUAAAUCUCGUUAACAUCUUAUAUUAAUUUUUUAUAAAAAAAGAUAAGAUAAAAAAUAUGAGAUGAUGGAAUGGAAAGAAGAAAUGAGAGAAUUCUAAUCUAUUUUUACAGUUUACAUGCGUCCGUGAUUUUUUUUUCCUUUUUCUUGGUUGUUGUGCCGAGACUGCCCUCCAGCUGGAAAUAAGGAGGAGACAGAGAAAUAAGAACUGCCACUAGGUUGGUGAAACAGUGUCAAGCAUUUUCGUUGGACGGAGGACUAUGCAUGUCGGGUUGGAUCGCCAAAUGGAAGGGCAAAAUUUAUAACCAAGCGGACAAUUUUUUUUUUCAACAAAUAAUAUUAUCGGGAAAAUCUCAUAAUAAGCUAAUAAUAAUAUGAUUCAAACUUUUAUUCUUACUUUUUGUUCUAAAUACUUAUUACAAUCAUGAAAAAUAAAAUAGUAGUUUAAAUUUGACAUCAGAGAAAGUGCUACGAACAGACAAAAAAACACAAUCAGAGAAAUUGCUACGAACAAACAAAAAAACACAAUCAGAGAAACUGCAACGAACAAACAAAAAAACACAAUUAGAAGGUGGUUUAAAUUUGGCGCAAUUGAUUGAAGACUUUGACUUGUGGUUCUACACCCUAAAUUCUACAAGGCGCCCUUUUUUUCCACUAUAACACCAAAUUGAAGACUUUGACUUGUGGUUCUACACCCUAAAUUCUAGAAGGCGCCCUUUAUUUCCACUAUAACGCCAAAUUCUACGCGGUAAGUUGACUUGUGGUUCUACACCCUAAAUUCUACGAGGCGUCCUUCUUUUUUCCACUUUAACGUUCACACAAUACACAAUGAUAAGAGAUUUUUCAAUUUAUCAGAACAUAGUCUGGGACACCGUACACCACUUAUAAAACAGUUUCAAGAGGGCUAGUUUGAAAAUAUCCUAUUGCAAAAUUUGAUUUAGAUGAAAACCAGCAACAGUGCCUGCGCGUGUUGUUGCGGGUGUCUAAAAUAUUUUGAUAAUAUGUACAUAGAAAACAUAAUUUAUUGAAGCUAGAUUUCUAUACUUAAGAUAGAGGUUGGCAGUGUUCAUAAUUAUCAAAAGAUUGGGAGUGUCCAAUUGCUCACUGUUCAAAAGAUAGAGAUGCUAUAAAAACUAAAUUCAUGUACAUAAGUUCAUAGUAUCAUGUACUCACAAUAAUCAUAGUAUCAAAAUAUUGGCAGUCUUCAACCACUCAUCGUUCAAAUACGAAAAUAUACAUAUAUCCAUAUCAAAAGGUUGGCAUCGCACAUCUGGUUUGUGUUUAUGAUUUUUCCUGUUCAAUCUCUGGUCUUGCUUGUUUGGGAAUGACCAUCCUUUUUCUUGGCCACCAUGUUGUUGAAUUGGUGCCUAUUCUUUUUUGCUUUGCCCAAGAUUUUGCUAUUGCUAUACAUUACGAAUUGGAAUCAGUAAGAAUUCAAUAUAAAAAAGUAAAUUUGUCAAUCUAUUUAACUUAGUGCGAACUUCAUCAAACAACCAACAAGUAUAAUCCAGCAAGGUUAUUUUCAUUUUCUUUUUUUAAUCAAAAUGAAUUCUAUUGUUCCCAUAUAUUUGCAAAUCCCUUUAAAUUAUCCAAAAACACAAAAGAAAUAUAUCUUGAUCCAUACCAAUUAAUGAUUUCCCAUUUACUUUAGUCAAAUGUCAGAGCCAAUGAAGGAACUGAUGAAGGAGCUAAAAAAGAGAGACAAAAAAAAAUCUCUAUUAUUCAAUUAUAUAGAGAAUUACUUGAUUGUACAAAAGGUUUGAAAAUUACUGUAAAAAUAAAAUUUCAAAAAAAAAAAAAAAAGAUGAGAUGAGAUGGAGUAGAAAUCACAUAACAGCAUUAGACUUAAAUUUGUAGUGCUUAUAUGAGAGAGUAGUGAUAGUGCUGAUGAGAAUGUAGGGAGAGAAACAAAAUGCAAAUCGUAAGAGUGAGAGAAAAACCGCUUGAGGGACACUGCAAAUUGAUCGAUGAGAUUUGAGAAACCACUAUUUUAUUUCUUGGUGGAUAAUUGGAAAUGUUAGUUUUAAGUCGUUCUUGGUGGAUGUUUGAUUUUUGGGUGUGUGGAGUUUUCGAAUUAUAAUUAGUUUUUUAUAGGUAUGUGAUUUGAGAAACCUUUAAUAUUUAUUUUCUCAUUCUUAUUUAUUUAAGGGCAAAUUUGAAAGUUUAGUCAAGAAAAUUUGUUAGUUGGGUGUAGAGAUAUAAAGGAUGGGUUCAAAUAAAAUUUCUCUAAAAUAAAUAAUGUGAAAGGAGAUGAUCAAAAAAGAAGUGAGAGAAUCAUAGUCUAUUUUUUACAGUUUACAUGCGUCCGUGACUUUUUUUGCCUUUUUCUUGGUUGUUGUGCCGAGACUGCCCUCCAGCUGGAAAUAAGGAGGAGACAGAUAAAUAAGAACUGCCACUAGGUUGGUGAAACAGUGUCGAGCAUUUUCAUUGGACGGAGGACUAUGCAUGUUGGGUUGGAUCGCCAAAUGGCUGGAAAAUUUUUAUAACCAAGCGGACAUAUUUUUGUUCUUUUCCUCUGAUGUUCAACUGCAAGUAGAAAUUCUGUUAGUUUAAAGGAUUUAAGGAUUAAGUGCAUUUUUUCAAAGAGGAUUAGCUUGGACGGAAUAACUAAGCAUCUGUAAAGGAGGAGUUCAAAUGUCAACAUCAGCAAUAACAAGAAAAAAAUACGGUAUUAGUGUUAGCAACUUCAAAUUUUUUUUUUUACAAUCAAUAUUAUGCCUUACAAUAAGCUAACAAUAAUAUAGUUCAAACUUUUAUUCUUACUUUUUGUUCUAAAUACUUAUUACAAUCAUGAAAAAUAAAUAAUGUAAUAAACAGUGGUUUAAAUUUGACAUAUCAAACAGAGAAUAAAAUUUUAAAAAAAAAUUAAAGUGUUACACUAACUUUCAAAUUUAAAUUUUAUAUUUGAAAUUUGAAAUCUACUUUGGAAAUGAACAAAUCGGUUGUUUUUUAUUAUAGAUUUCUUUAUAGAUAAUGUUGGUGGUCUUAGAAAAUUUUAUUAACAUGAAAAAAAAUAGUAUACUUAAUCUAUGGACAUAAACCUUUAACCCUUAAUUUGGUCCAAGAUAUUAUUAGAGAAUUCCCACUUGGUUUGGUCCCGUAUAAUUUUGUUUUCCCUGCUAGCAAUAUUUUGAAUUCCAACUAUCUAUAGUUUUGUUGGAAUAAUUUCACAAGUCAUAAUCUAAUCUAUUCUAUUAAGAGAAGAGGGCUUAUCAACUUUUUGCUCAUUUUUCUUCUAAUUUUGUCCUCACUUUUGAUAUAUAAUGUUUACAACAAGGAAGGCAAAAUAGUAAUUUUGUAUCUUUUGACAAAAUAACAAUCAUAUGCCUAUUUUACCUUUUUUCUAGAAAAUGACAAUCAUAUACUUAUGUUUUCAAUUUUACCCUCACUUUUUAUACACAAUAUUUACAUAAGAAUGACAAAAUAGGAAAAAAGGGGAAAAAAAGUUGACAAGGAGGCUUCUCUUAAUAACAUUUUUGAUACAUAAGGAGGACAAGCCAUCAUUUUUUCAUACAGGUAAGUUAAAUAAUUAUGUUUUUCGGAUAAUUUGAAUGAACUGAAGCGGUUGCGCUUGAGAAGAAUGUAAGAGGAGGUGUGUGGUUGUUCACACACACAAAGUGUGUACUCUAUGUAGUACAAAAUUAAGAAUACCAACUAUGCUUUUGUUUUAAUUUUUUUGGCUAAAAAAAAUCAAAAAAUCAAAAUCAAAGAAAAUGAUAGGAAAGAGCAACAACUUGCAUAUGUAUAGUUUAUAAGGAAAACUAAUGAAAAUAGCUUGAAAAUUUUGAGUUUUAACAAUAAAGACAAAAUAAAGGGUAAAGUAAAUAAUAUCAGGAUUGACUUUUUAGUGUAAAAAUAUGGUUUUUCGUUAAAAUUAACAAUACUGAAAACUUUUCGUUAAAUUUCCCUAUUUUAUAUGCUUUUAAUUAUUUUUAUGAGUUUGUGUUUGUACCAAGACAACUAUGUAUUUUAGGAAAACUAAUGAAAAUGAUUUGAAAAGCUUGAGUUUUAACGAUAAAGACAAAAUAAAGGGUAAAAUUAAUAGUAUCAGGAUUAACUUUUUAGUGUAAAAAUUGUGGUUUUUCGUUAAAGUGUACAGUACCGAGAGCUUUUCGUUAAAGUUCCCUAGUUUAUAUGCUUUUAAUUAUUUUUAUGAGUUCAUGUUUAUACCAAGACAACUGUCAAUUUAAGAUUUAGUAUUGAAUGGCUCCAUAGUAAAUAUCACAACUUUCCGAAUAUCCAGCAUCAGGUGGGUCUGAAGAAUUGCAUAGCUUGGGGGUAUCAUCUUGAGGACCCAUAUCAUCUGGAUCAGACCAAGGCCGAUGCCCACCGUACAUAUGGCGCAUAUGCCACACUUCGGCUGGAGGGUGGAGUUUUAACACUCAAAGUAACAGACCACUAGCAUCUGCACCUAUAGGCCAAGGCAUAUUCUAUAUAGCCCAUCGAAAAAAGUGAAAUCAAGUUGUAACUAUGAGAUUUCAGGUUGUGAUUGACAUUAACAAAUUAAGUAAAACGAAUGUGUAGAAUUUUAAGCAACCACUUAACAAGAAAGUUAAUCCUUUGAUUGAAUAAAGUUACAACCAUUGAGUUUAGCAUCAUUAUUAACAAGGAAGAAAAUAAACCAUGCAACUCCAUCAUCAUUCAUGAGUGGUAUUUAGGAAAUACAACUAUACUUGCAUAUGAGGGUCCUAAUUGUCAUGAAAAAAUUAGCAUGUACAUGAAAAUCUAUAUGCAUCUUGAAAAAAAAUAUAUUCUCACUCAUAUAUCCGUUUCAAAUUUAUAUAGACAAUAAUUAAAAGGCUUAAUUACUGGUGCACCUUUGAAAGUGGGAAAAAAAAUCUCACUUUGCCUCUUGAAACUUAUUUUGAUCAAAUUUACUUACUUUUUAAAAUAUGUAAACGUAUCUCAUUCUAUUGUAUACCGUUAGCUUCAUUAAAUUUUUCUUCAAUGUCACUCACGUUAACGUGUCAUCCAUGUGUCAAAAGAUAGAGUACCUUUUUGUCUCUUCCCGUUCUCCAACUUAAUACAAGUUAGUUAUUCUCCUUCACUUCUUUAGCUCAUUUCACUCUCCCCCUCUCUCUCUCACUGAUUUCUAUCUCUUGGUCUUAUUGACUUUUGGCUAAAUAAUGUUAAAAAAAUAUGAGUUUUCACCUUUUUUAUAAUUUGUGAUUCUCUUUUCCAUGUGUAGGUGAGAGAGUAAUGUUUAACUCAAAAUUUACCCUCAUUUUUAAUACACAAAAUGGUUGGACACUAACACCUCCACCGAAGUUAACAGCUUCCCUAAGCUCGACCAGGUAUCCAUUUCCUUCAUUUUCUUUAGGCAAAUUGAAGGUUUUUGGCGUUCUCCGAAAAAAAAAAAAAAAUUGAAGGUUUUUGGCGAUAUUUAUUUUCCUUUUUUCCUGCCGGAACUACUUUCUUCUUCUGAUAAUUAAUAAACCUGUCAACUCUAUGCCAAUAAUGCAGUUAGGAUUGCACAUGGGCGACCGACAACUCAUCAGGACCCCAUUUCCCUCAGCCUUUUCCUUUUAUCUUUACAUUUUUCUUCAUUUUUGGCAAGUUUCCUUUAAUUUUGGUC